rnacentral:lncRNA from 1 species
UCCCAGAAUAAAACCAAUGGGCACCACAUUCCUGGGGCCUCCCCUCCGUCCCCAGCCAUUCCUCCAGGAGAAACCCUGGAAUGCUAGCACUUCACCCAGAGACCUCACUUGAUUUCCAGAUUUCCAGUGGGGAACAGGGAGCUGGGACAUGGGAGAAAGGCUGUGACGUCACUCUGGGGCAGAGCAGUGGAGAUAUGUUGCUGAAAAGCCAUGCCUCCUUUUCCUGAUGAUCUUCCAAACCUCCUGUGCUGCGAGUCAAUGAUGAAAUAACUGUCGUCUGCAUAAAGCUUUUAGUGCUGAACAUGAAAAAGUUCUCUGGGCUGCCAGCAGGUGGGAUCCAUGGUCAAACAGGACCUAUCAGCUUGCACCUGGGUUUGCAAGUUCUCGGACAAAACGGGCAGCAAGACUUUGCUCCUUAUGGCAGUCAUCAACCACUUCUACUCUCUUCUCCCUCACCACCAGGAAGCCAGAUUGAGCCCCUGAGGCUCAGAGACUUUGCACAAAGCAGCUGGGACUACCUCACCCAGGCAAAACCUGGAAAUGUCUUGGGUCUCUUCCCUCUGUUUUAUUUUUCCAGUGUCAGCCAGCAGCCAUGGUGGACACUGGUUUACACUGCAACUGGGAGCUGGGAUUACUCUGCUUUUAGGAGGUCCAAUUGGUUCGUAGUCUACUUGCAAAUUUUAUGAGGAAGUGAGUUUGGAGAUUAAGGUCUAACAAUGCUGUGGCUGGGAAAGGGAGGCAAUCUGGAAAAUGCUUUUCAUUUCUGACCUUCAGAUCUACUCUGCACUGAGUAUGGGUUUUCCCACGGUAGCUGGGUGAGUGCCUUCACCUUGCCACUGCUGCACAUAGUUUGGGGCUAUGGAGAAAACUCUUCCAAUCUACCCAAGCAAUCCUUAGGAGACCUGGGAAGAAACCAGGUUACCUUCGCUCUGCAGUCAGGACUUUGCUCGUCAUUAGAGUAAGUGAAAGUACUUCCCUCCUUGGUAUCAUAAAUAAAUCAUUAAAUCCAAGCUCGGAGGGAGGAAGC